GGGCACUUAGCGCAGUUGGUAGCGUGCACGUUUCGCAUAGUGCCACGGUGGUGUCCGAUUGCGUGAGGUCGUGGGUUCAAUUCCCAUAGUGUCCA
rfam:Termitomyces sp. J132 unplaced genomic scaffold scaffold617, whole genome shotgun sequence.